rnacentral:rRNA from 1 species
UUUAAAGGUGCGUAGGUGGUUAAUUAAGUCAGCGGUGAAAGUUUGUGGCUCAACCAUAAAAUUGCCGUUGAAACUGGUUGACUUGAGUAUAUUUGAGGUAGGCGGAAUGCGUGGUGUAGCGGUGAAAUGCAUAGAUAUCACGCAGAACUCCGAUUGCGAAGGCAGCUUACUAAACUAUAACUGACACUGAAGCACGAAAGCGUGGGAUCAAACAGG